UACGUAGGGUGCGAGCGUUGUCCGGAAUUAUUGGGCGUAAAGAGCUCGUAGGCGGUCUGUCGCGUCGAUCGUGAAAACUUGGGGCUUAACCCUGAGCUUUCGGUCGAUACGGGCAUGACUGGAGUUCGGCAGGGGAGACUGGAAUUCCUGGUGUAGCGGUGAAAUGCGCAGAUAUCAGGAGGAACACCGGUGGCGAAGGCGGGUCUCUGGGCCGUAACUGACGCUGAGGAGCGAAAGCGUGGGGAGCGAACAGG
rnacentral:rRNA from 1 species